UUGAACGCUGGCGGCAUGCCUAACACAUGCAAGUCGAACGGAGGUAGGGGCAACUCUACUUCAGUGGCGGACGGGUGAGGAAUGCGUCGGAAUCUACCCUAUGGUGGGGGAUAACACAGGGAAACUUGUGCUAAUACCGCAUAAUGUCGAGAGACCAAAGCAGGGGACCGCAAGGCCUUGCGCGAUAGGAUGAGCCGACGCCCGAUUAGCUAGUUGGUAGGGUAAAGGCCUACCAAGGCGACGAUCGGUAGCUGGUCUGAGAGGAUGAUCAGCCACACUGGGACUGAGACACGGCCCAGACUCCUACGGGAGGCAGCAGUGGGGAAUAUUGGACAAUGGGCGCAAGCCUGAUCCAGCAAUGCCGCGUGUGUGAAGAAGGCCUGCGGGUUGUAAAGCACUUUUGUUCGGGAAGAAAUCAUGCUGGUUAAUACCUGGUAUGGAUGACGGUACCGAAAGAAUAAGCACCGGCUAACUUCGU
rnacentral:rRNA from 1 species